rnacentral:rRNA from 1 species
UACAGAGGGUGCAAGCGUUAAUCGGAAUUACUGGGCGUAAAGCGUGCGCAGGCGGUUAUGUAAGACAGUUGUGAAAUCCCCGGGCUCAACCUGGGAACUGCAUCUGUGACUGCAUAGCGUAGAGUACGGUAGAGGGGGAUGGAAUUCCGCGUGUAGCAGUGAAAUGCGUAGAUAUGCGGAGGAACACCGAUGGCGAAGGCAAUCCCCUGGACCUGUACUGACGCUCAUGCGACGAAAGCGUGGGGAGCAAACGAGGAUAGAAACCCUU